rnacentral:rRNA from 1 species
UACGUAGGGUGCAAGCGUUAAUCGGAAUUACUGGGCGUAAAGCGUGCGCAGGCGGCUUUGCAAGACAGAUGUGAAAUCCCCGGGCUCAACCUGGGAACUGCAUUUGUGACUGCAUGGCUAGAGUGCGGUAGAGGGGGAUGGAAUUCCGCGUGUAGCAGUGAAAUGCGUAGAUAUGCGGAGGAACACCGAUGGCGAAGGCAAUCCCCUGGACCUGUACUGACGCUCAUGCACGAAAGCGUGGGGAGCAAACAGG